rnacentral:rRNA from 1 species
UUCCGGUUAGAUCCUGCCGGAGGCGACCGCUAUUGGAGUUCGAUUAAGCCAUGCGAGUAGAAAGAAAUUAGAUUCUUUGCAUACUGCUCAGUAACACGUGGAUAACCUGCCCUACACUGGGGGAUAAUCUUGGGAAACUGAGAAUAAUACCCCAUAGACCACUACGCCUGGAACGGUGAGUGGUUGAAAGCUCAGGCGGUGUAGGAUGGGUCUGCGGCGUAUCAGGUCGUAGGGGGUGUAAUGGACCUCCUAGCCAUCGACGCGUACGGGUUGUGGGAGCAAUAGCCCGGAGACGGAUUCUGAGACACGAAUCCGGACCCUACGGGGUGCAGCAGGCGCGAAAACUUCGCACUGCAGGAAACUGUGAUGAGGGAACUCCAAGUGACUGCACAAUGUGUAGCCUUUUCUUGAAUUUUAAUUGUUCUUGGAAUAAGGGCUGGGAAAGACCGGUGCCAGCCGCCGCGGUAAUACCGGCAGCUCAAGUGGUCGUCGCUUUUAUUGGGCCUAAAACGUCCGUAGCCUGUUUGGUAAAUCUGUGGGUAAAUCAAUCCGCUCAACGGAUUGAAUUCUGCAGAGACUGCCAGACUAGGGACCGGGAGAGGUGUGGGGUACUCGAGGGGCAGGGGUAAAAUCCUGUCAUCCUUCGAGGACCACCAGUUGCGAAGGCGCCACACUGGAACGGAUCCGACGGUCAGGGACGAAGCCUAGGGGCACGAACCGGAUUAGGUACCCGGGUAGUCCUAGGUGUAAACGCUGUGAACUUGGUGUCGGGGGUCCGCAAGGGGUCCCCGGUGCCGGAGUGAAGAUGUUAAGUUCACUGCCUGGGGAGUACGGUCGCAAGGCUGAAACUUAAAGGAAUUGGCGGGGGAGCACUGCAACGGGAGGAGCGUGCGGUUUAAUUGGAUCAACGCCGGA